UUGCGAUAUGAAGACAUCUAUACAGAAAUCGUGACUUAAAAUGACAGCGCCCCCUGGUGGCAGCAGGAAAUGUAUAGCUGACACUCUGAUGUAUUCCUGCUCAUCCAAUAUGCAAAACCAUGUCAAACUUUGUUUAAUGGGUCUCAAGACAUUGAUAAUGUAGCCAUAAGAUUAUUGUGACUUUUUAUCAUGCGGUUUAUUAAUGGCAUGGCUUGAAAGUUCAUCAGCUCGUCGGAGAGAGUCCCAUUGAAUCCCAUGUUAAAAUGCCCAAUUUUAGAGUAGAAUUAAACCUGUUUACAGCAUUAUUCAAACUUUGGUUUUAGUCUCAAUCGCUAUGUUCUUCCUUCAUUAAAACUCUGAGGGGGUGAACUUUUUCGUAACUACCUCUAUAUCGCUAUAAUAAGCGAUAUAGUGGUUUGAAAUUUACGUGACGUCACAGUGAGCUGCGCCCUCCCUUCUCCUUACUUUUUCCUGUGUCAUUGAACACAACUCGAGACUUUCGAAACCUCCCACUCAGUAUCGGAUGAAUAACACAGUUUGAUGUUUUGCUUGUUCUGCUGACGGACACGUUAAAGACGUCUGCGCUCCCGUUUCUGUGCAUGUCCAGCAUGAGACAACUGGAAUUCAACCACAUUGAACACCGACUUCAGGGACAGACGAGCCUGAAGGACACAGCUGUGAUGACCAUGUUCUGUCUCUUAUGGCAAAGCAGAAAUAUAAAACA